rnacentral:rRNA from 1 species
CGCCUUAUACUCCUACGGGAGGCAGCAGUGGGGAAUUUUGGACAAUGGGGGCAACCCUGAUCCAGCAAUGCCGCGUGAGUGAAGAAGGCCUUCGGGUUGUAAAGCUCUUUUGUCAGGGAAGAAACGGUAGUAGCUAAUAUCUAUUACUAAUGACGGUACCUGAAGAAUAAGCACCGGCUAACUACGUGCCAGCAGCCGCGGUAAUACGUAGGGUGCAAGCGUUAAUCGGAAUUACUGGGCGUAAAGCGCGCGCAGGCGGUUGUGUAAGUCAGAUGUGAAAGCCCCGGGCUAAACCUGGGAAGUGCAUUUGAGACUGCACGGCUAGAGUGUGUCAGAGGUGGGUAGAAUUCCACGUGUAGCAGUGAAAUGCGUAGAGAUGUGGAGGAAUACCGAUGGCGAAGGCAGCCCCCUGGGAUAACACUGACGCUCAUGCACGAAAGCGUGGGGAGCAAACGGGAUUAGAAACCCCUGUAGUCCACGUACCA